rnacentral:rRNA from 1 species
GAUGAACGCUGGCGGCGUGCUUAACACAUGCAAGUCGAACGAAGCACUUUGAUCGAUUUCUUCGGAUUGAAAUUUUAGUGACUGAGUGGCGGACGGGUGAGUAACGCGUGGGUAACCUGCCUCACACAGGGGGAUAACAGUUGGAAACGACUGCUAAUACCGAAUACGCUUGGGAGACCGCAUGAUCUUCCAAGGAAAGGGUGGCCUCUACUUGUAAGCUAUCGCCUGAAGAGGGGUUUGCGUCUGAUUAGGCAGUUGGUGAGGUAACGGCCCACCAAACCUACGAUCAGUAGCCGGUCUGAGAGGAUGAACGGCCACACUGGAACUGAGACACGGUCCAGACUCCUACGGGAGGCAGCAGUGGGGAAUCUUCCGCAAUGGGCGAAAGCCUGACGGAGCAACGCCGCGUGAGUGAUGACGGCCUCGGUUGUAAGAC